rnacentral:rRNA from 1 species
CGGGGUGAGUAAUGUCUGGGAAACUGCCUGAUGGAGGGGGGUAACUACUGGAAACGGUAGCUAAUACCGCAUAACGUCGCAAGACCAAAGAGGGGGACCUUCGGGCCUCUUGCCAUCGGAUGUGCCCAGAUGGGAUUAGCUAGUAGGUGGGGUAACGGCUCACCUAGGCGACGAUCCCUAGCUGGUCUGAGAGGAUGACCAGCCACACUGGAACUGAGACACGGUCCAG